UACGGGGGGAGCAAGCGUUGUUCGGAUUUACUGGGCGUAAAGGGCGCGUAGGCGGCCACCGCAAGUCGACUGUGAAAUCUCCGGGCUUAACUCGGAAAGGUCAGCCGAUACUGCGGGGCUAGAGUGCAGAAGGGGCAACUGGAAUUCUCGGUGUAGCGGUGAAAUGCGUAGAUAUCGAGAGGAACACCUGCGGCGAAGGCGGGUUGCUGGGCUGACACUGACGCUGAGUGUGCGAAAGCUAGGGGAGCGAACGGG
rnacentral:rRNA from 1 species